AUGGAUUGUUUCCUGCUCCAAUACAUGUUGGAAAGUACCUGAGACAGAAACGCAUUGACUUCCAGUUGCCUUACGACAUCCUAUGGUUGUGGAAACAUGAUCAGCUACACAAGAGGCCUGAUGUCCCCCUUUAUAAAAAAAUAAGAUCAAAUGUUUAUGUGGAUGUGAAGCCUCUAUCUGGUUAUGAAACAACUACAUGCAACUGUAGACUUCCCGAAGACUCAACUGAAAAAGGCUGCAUGGAUGAAUGCUUGAAUAGGUAAAGAUACACCAUCAUAAUUGGUUGUUUUCAACAAGUCUCAUGUUACUUUUCAGUAUUCAGAUGAAGCCAUGUGCUUGUUUAGAAAUGUUAUUUUACAUCGCUUUGUUUUAGGAAUUAAGUGAUUUUGAAUAGAGGGCAAAACAUGGUGUCAAGACAGGAAUGCCAGCCAUUGCACUCCAUCUCCAUCUUCAGGCUGUCUUUCUCUCCAGUCAAACCUAUCUCCAUAGGAAGGGGAUUUUUUUUUUUUUUUAUUGUUUGUAACCAGUAUAUCCUCUUCAAUCUGACAUCUUAAGUGUUGCAAACCUAUUGAGUUUUUAGCAUGCAGCAGAGCAAAGUAAAAACAGUAAUGUGCUUCAGAUGUUGUACAGAAACCAUGCCUCAGGGGUGCUGAAAACAAGCAAGCACUGGCUGUUGAAAAUAUCCCUGUGGCACUGCAGCAGUUGACAGCGUUUUGUAACAGCUUGGCAAAGGUGUUAGUUUCUUCCAUGGUUCUGAUUGGAUAGGGCAUUUUACAGUUGAGAAUGAGUGGACUGAUUCAGAGGUCUGGAGUUUUGGGGAUGGGGGGGUUGUCAUGGUAAUCAAGAAGCUUCUCG
ensembl:lncRNA